rnacentral:rRNA from 1 species
GAUGAACGCUGGCGGCGUGCCUAAUACAUGCAAGUCGAGCGAACGGACGAGAAGCUUGCUUCUCUGAUGUUAGCGGCGGACGGGUGAGUAACACGUGGAUAACCUACCUAUAAGACUGGGAUAACUUCGGGAAACCGGAGCUAAUACCGGCGAAUAUUUUGAACCGCAUGGUUCCAAAGUGAAAGACGGUCUUGCUGUCACUUAUAGAUGGAUCCGCGCUUGAUUAGCUAGUUGGUAAGGUAACGGCCUACCAAGGCAACGAUGCAUAGCCGACCUGAGAGGGUGAUCGGCCACACUGGAACUGAGACACGGUCCAGACUCCUACGGGAGGCAGCAGUAGGGAAUCUUCCGCAAUGGGCGAAAGCCUGACGGAGCAACGCCGCGUGAGUGAUGAAGGUCUUCGGAUCGUAAAGCUCUGUUAUUAGGGAAGAACAUAUGUGUACGUAACUGUGCACAUCUUGACGGUACCGGAUCAGAAAGCCACGGCUAACUACGUG